rnacentral:rRNA from 1 species
CAAGGAAGUUGACGGGGAGCACCACAACGGGUGGAGCUUGCGGUUUAAUUGGAUUCAACGCCGGAAAUCUUACCGGGACCGACAGCAAUAUGAAGGCCAGGCUGAAGACUUUGCCGGAUUAGCUGAGAGGUGGUGCAUGGCCGUCGUCAGUUCGUACUGUGAAGCAUCCUGUUAAGUCAGGCAACGAGCGAGACCCACGCCCACAGUUGCCAGCGUACUCUCCGGAGUGACGGGUACACUGUGGGGACCGCCGCUGCUAAAGCGGAGGAAGGAAUGGGCAACGGUAGGUCAGUAUGCCCCGAAUAUCCCGGGCUACACGCGAGCUACAAUGGUUGGUACAAUGGGUAUCUACCCCGAAAGGGGACGGGAAUCUCCUAAAACCAAUCUUAGUUCGGAUUGAGGGCUGCAACUCGCCCUCAUGAAGCUGGAAUCCGUAGUAAUCGCGUUUCAACAGAACGCGGUGAAUACGUCCCUGCUCCUU